rnacentral:rRNA from 1 species
CUACGGGAUGCUCCAGUGGGGAAUAUUGGGCAAUGGAGGAAACUCUGACCCAGCGACGCCGCGUGCGGGAUGAAGGCCUUCGGGUUGUAAACCGCUUUCAGCAGGGAAUAAGCGAAAGUGAAGGUACCUGCAGAAGAAGCACCGGCUAACUAUGUGCCAGCAGCCGCGGUAAUACAUAGGGUGCAAGCGUUGUCCGGAAUUAUUGGGCGUAAAGAGCUCGUAGGUGGUUUGUUACGUCGGAUGUGAAAUGCAGGGGCUCAACCCCUGACUUGCAUCCGAUACGGGCAAGCUAGAGUUUGGUAGGGGAGACUGGAAUUCCUGGUGUAGCGGUGGAAUGCGCAGAUAUCAGGAGGAACACCGAUGGCGAAGGCAGGCCUCUGGGCCAAUACUGACACUGAGGAGCGAAAGCGUGGGGAGCGAACAGGAUUAGAUACCCUUGUAGUC